AUACUGUUGCGAACGCAACCUUUAUUUGUAUAAUACAGUAACUAAACGCAGCCGUCGGGCUCGGCUAGUAUUUGGAAGCUUUUUCUAAAGCACCAAUAGGAGCGCUCCACAUAUUAUGUAUCGCGGCCAAUUAGAGGCACCCAAAUCUUAACCACUAUUUUCGGACAUUCAAAUUAUGCAAAUCACUCUUUCAUCAGCCUCCAUACAAUCACCACACCACUUUUACAUUUAACCGUUUAGUCAAGGAACCCUUGUAAAACCAGUACCUAUUGAAAUUAUAAUAGUUUACUUCAAAUCGAAGCUUUUUAUUUGAGUCGUCGAGAUCCUGACCUGCACGGCGGCUACAUAUGGUCCUUCGAAGCCUUCAAGACAAGGGAAGAUUUGACCAACAACGGGUUCUUCGUGGAAGUGGACUUUGACCAUACUUCGAAAUCGUCUUCGUUGUCUUCAGUUUCUUCGGCUUAGGAAGAACACGCAACGGACGUCGAAAGCAAGGGGUCCCAGCGUCUACCGGCAUAAGGGAGGCGUUCGUUGGACAUCCACCACAUCGAGGACUUCAGUUCCAGUACAUCGCAUCACCUGAAUACGUAGGACUAGACAGAGUGAGUUCGUUCCAAUUUCCUUCCAUUUCCCUUCUAUACCUAUCUUUCUUGGAAUUAAGAAUAGCUCUAUACGUAUCAGGCACAAAUAAUUCAUUUUCAUACAAAUCAAUUGCUAAAUACAUUUAAAACAAUAAUUCAUAUCGAUAAAAUAGCUUAGCUUCAUAUAACUUCGCAGUUAAAAUCUUAUUACAUAUUAAAAAGCCGUCUCCAUCGCUUAUUAUCAAUCGCCUCAGUAACAUAAAAUUGCUAAAUCAUCACAUUCCGCGCGCAGCUGCUUAUCUAGUCCGCUUCUUUUGUUCUCGUCAGUUGCAUUUUAACUCGUUAGUGAUCACACAUAUUAGGUAAUUGCAUUUUUAAAUUUACGUCUUAAUCAAUAUGGCUGACACGUUAAAGGAGUUAGUUAGGAAACGUGGCAGUUUGAAAGCUAAAUUAACUUUGUUUAACACAUACAUUAAUGUGGCUAAAACGUGUGAACAAUUAAAUGGAGAUUGAAGCGUUAACUGAGAAACCCGAUGAAGCAUAUGCGGAGCGGGAGCAGUUUGAAAGCCAGUUCUUUGUGUUGGUUUCGACUGCUCGACUUCUUUUGACUCCUACGGUGCAGUCGAGCGGCGGUCGGCCCGGGCCCGGAUCCGCGGCUUCCACGUCGUGCGGCGCCGGCCGGCAGGACUUCGUUCGUCUGCCCAAGAUUGAUCUGCCUCACUUCGAUGGGAACUAUCAGCAUUGGCUCGGCUUUAGAGAUACGUAUAUUUCACUUAUUCAUAAUAAUCCCGCUAUCAAUGACAUAAGCAAAUUUCACUAUCUUCGUGCAUCUUUAAAAAGCAGUGCCGCCCUUGUGAUUCAAAGUCUUGAUUUUAGCAGUGAUAACUAUCAUAAAGCGUGGCAGUUAGUUUCUGAGCGGUAUGAUAACCCGCGCCUUUUAAUUAACAAUCAUAUGCAGGCCCUGUUUAACCUUGAACCGAUGCAACUCGAAUCGAGCUCUUUAUUACGUAACAUGGUGGACGUAACUAACGAAAAUUUGCGUGCGCUUGGCACCUUAGGGGAGCCCACCGACCAUUGGGACACCUUAGUUAUCUAUAUAAUGUCUAAGAAGUUAGAUCUAGUAACUAAGCGUGAGUGGGAAGAGCACAGGAACCUUUUAACAGGCUCGCCGACGUUGCAGCAAUAUAUUAAAUUUUUAAAUAACAGGGCUGACUUACUCGAAUCUCUUGGCAAUAAUAACGUCAAUAAUAGCGGUUACAAGACAUCGAAACAUAAAUUGCAUUCACAUAACGAGCCACAAAAAACACAUAAUUAUCUUACAGCUACAAAAAACAAUGCUUAUCGCAAACCUAUUGUUUGCCCUUAUUGUAAACAAGAUCAUUUCUUAUUUAAUUGUGAAUCUUUUCGUAAAUUAGACAUUGAUAAUAGGAUAAAAAAUGUAAACGGUUACUCAGUAUGUAAGAAUUGUCUUAGGCCGGGACACUUAGAAAAGCAAUGUGUGUUAUCUCAUUGCAAAUACUGCAAACUUAAACAUAACACUCUUUUACAUAAACAUGUUGACAAAGAGUCUUCUAGCAGUGAUGUUCCGGUGCCAGAUGUUCAUUUUAGCGGCAACAUUCAAACUAAAGUGUUUAGCCCUACUAAGACUUCCGGACUACUGUCCACAGCGUUGGUGCACGUGAGUGACGCGAAUGGAGUGCUUCGUGAGGCGCGUCUACUCCUGGACAACGGGUCUGCUACCAACUUCGUGACGCAGGAUCUGUGCGGGCAGCUUGGGUUAGCGACACGCAGCGUGGGAGCCACGAUCACAGGUAUCAAUGAGCAACUUUCACAUUGUCCGGAGUCUUGUGACAUUACAAUUCAUUCACUUCAUAGUAACUAUACGACGACCGUAAACUGCUACGUUGCCAACGUAAUAAAUACAUCUAUGCCGCCUUGUCGCAUAGAUCUUACCAACAUACCUAUUCCUGCCGACAUCACAUUGGCAGACCCAUCAUUUUAUGAGCCUUCCGCUAUCGAUAUUUUAGUCGGGGCGGAAAUAUUUUGGGACGUCUUAGGUACCGCGCGUAUUAAGUUAGGUAAAAAUAAACCUCAAUUACGCGAAUCAUCUUUAGGUUGGCUCGUGUGUGGCUCCAUACCUGCCUACAACAAAAACACAAACGAAUCUUAUUUUUGUUCGUUCAUCACACAUAAUGAUGACACUAAUCUCACUCGUUUUUGGGAAUUAGACUCGGUGUCUUCUACACAUUGCAUGUCUUAUGAAGAGCAAGCGUGCGAAAAAAGUUUUCUAGAAAAUACCAUUCGCGAUCAAGAUGGCCGCUUCGUUGUGACAUUACCUUUAAAAGAGUCACCGGAAGUACUUGGCGACUCAUAUCAAAUGGCCAAGCGCCGUUUCUUGGCAUUGGAGAAACGGCUCGCACGCGACGCUGCCUUCAAAACCUUAUAUUUUGAUUUUAUUCGCGAGUACAUCGACUUAGGUCAUAUGAGCGAAAAUCAAUCAUCAUCAUCAUCAUCUGCGCCAUCAGAAAAAGCAUUUUUCUUUCCACAUCAUGGAAUUUUGUGCUCUAGCACAACUACACGUUUAAGAGUCGUUUAUGACGGUUCGGCUUCCACGACCAGUGGCAAGUCCUUCAAUGACAUCCAAAUGGUUGGCCCGACUGUUCAGGAUGACCUUCUGUCAAUCUUAUUACGCUUCAGGCAACAUAAGUAUGUUGUCUCAAGUGACGUAGAAAAAAUGUAUCGAGCCAUAUUAGUACAGCCUUCUCAACGCUCGCUACAACAGAUCAUCUUUAGGUUCGAUCCUUCUGAUCCCUUAAAAACCUACAAAUUGAACACCGUCACAUACGGGACUGCGUGCGCACCUUACCUUGCAACUAAAUGUCUUGUUUCUCUUGCCGAUGACUGCCAGGACGCCCGAGUUAAACGCGCGAUACAGCACGACUUUUACGUAGACGAUUUUCUAAGUGGCAGUGACUCCGUAGAAUCAUUGGUUGAGAUUAGUAAGGGUGUAGUCACAACGUUACAAUCUGCGAAGUUUAACCUGCGUAAAUGGCAAUCAAAUUGUCCUGACCUUUUAAAAUCAAUUCUUGAACAUAAAGAGGAUAACAGUAAAGCCCUCAACCUUGAUAGCACGUCGCCUUGUAAAACGUUAGGUCUGUACUGGCAAACAGGAACAGACAAACUUCUAUUUUCUAUCGAUAUCAAAAUUCCAAAUAAAAUCACAAAAAGAAAUAUCUUGUCUGUCAUAAGUCAAGUGUUUGACCCACUAGGUCUCGUCGGGCCGUGUAUAGUGGAAGCCAAAAUCAUAUUGCAGCGUCUUUGGCUGUUAAAGUGCGAAUGGGACUCUGAGCUCCCAUUAGACAUAAAAAAUGAAUUUCUAUCUUUUGCAUCGUCACUUACAAAUUUAAAUAAACUUAAAAUUGACCGCUGGGUAUUCAGUGACUCACCUAUAGAAGUUCAAGUACAUGUAUUCACAGAUGCGUCAGAGCGUGCAUACGGCACCUCUGUCUAUAUCAGGACUGUGGACGGUAGCGGAGCGGUUUGCGUUCGUCUUAUAGCGUCAAAAAAUAAGGUCUCCCCCCUUAAGCCCUCCACAAUCCCAAGGCUGGAGCUUUGCGACGCGUUGCUUGGCGCAAGACUCUGGACAAAGGUCAUUUCAUCACUGACCGUGAAGGUUGAUCAUAGUUACUUUUGGUCUGACUCUAUGAUCGUGCUGGGCUGGCUCGCAGGGCCAUCUAAUAGACUUAAACCGUUCGUUCGCAACCGUGUGAAUGAAAUUCAAGAGAGUACACGCGAACAAACAUGGAGCUAUGUACCCUCAAAGCUGAACCCGGCAGAUCUAGUGUCACGAGGAAUGAAGGCUGAUGACCUCAGCAUGUCCACACUAUGGUGGACCGGUCCAGACUUUUUACAUCACUCCAUCAUUCAAUUUCCUACAACGCCUAAUACAAACGCAGAUAAUCUGCCAGAAGUGUCAUUUCAUACAAACAUACAAACAAACAUAAACGAAAAUAACAAUCUUAUAACUAAACUUAUCACUAACAAUUCAAAACUUACAAAACUAAUACGAAUCGUAGCAUAUAUUUACAGAUUUAUACAUAAUUGUAAAAAUAAAAAUAAUAAAAUUACAUCAAAUUUAACAUAUGCAGAAAUAAAAUCAAGUAAAACUAAACUUCUACAACUCGCACAGCAGGAAUCAUUUCCUGAAGAGUACAAACUCUUAUCUUUGGGCAAGCCCUUGCAGCCGAAAAGUAGGCUACUUUCGUUAACGCCCUUCUUAGACGAUCAGAAAUUAAUACGUGUCGGUGGUCGUCUUAAUAAUGCUUACUAUAGUUACGACGUUAAGCACCCAAUCUUAUUGUGCAGCAGGCAUCACCUUACCAAACUGCUCUUUGAUAUGCAACAUUUGGCAUUAUUGCACGCCCCGCCUCAGCUCUUACUAGCAAGCAUUCGGCAAACAUAUUAUCCGCUCGGCGGAAGAAACCUGACGCGCCAAUUAGUCCAUAAAUGCAUUCGCUGCAUCAGGUUCAAGGCUAGGCCUCUUCAAAUGUCUAUGGGUAACUUACCUACCGAUAGAACACAAUUAGAAUAUCCCUUUUUACAUACGGGAAUGGAUUUUGCCGGACCAGUGCUGAUAGCUGAUCGAAAGGGUAGGGGUAGCAAAACAAUUAAAUCAUAUAUUUUAGUUUUUGUCUGUCUUUCAGUCAAGGCUCUUCACUUGGAACUUGUUACAAGUCUAACGACAGAGUCGUUCCUUGCUGCUCUCCGCCGCUUCAUGAGUCGUCGGGGAAAGCCUCGAACUCUGUAUUGCGACAAUGGGACUUCGUUUGUCGGGGCAUCAAACGAGCUCAGUAAUUUCUUAAAAAAUAAUCACGAUAAGCUGCAGUCAGGUAUGGCAGAGAAUCUUAUUAACUUUAAAUUUAGCCCGGCUUACUCACCUCACUUCGGCGGACUUUGGGAAGCCGCAGUAAAAUCAACAAAAUAUCACCUCAAACGCAUUCUAUCUCUUACACACUUAACGUAUGAAGAAUUAAAUUGUUGCCUGAUUCAGAUAGAAGCUAUUUUAAAUUCUAGGCCCCUAACCCCCUUAUCUUCUGAUCCAUCUGAUCUGACCUACCUAUCGCCCUCUCAUUUCCUUAUUGGACGUUCUCUUCUGUCAGUCCCACAAGAACCUCUGACUGAAGAAAACAUCUCGCGGCUUGAACGGUUCCAGAGAGUUGAAAAACUCAAGCAGCAUUUUUGGAGCCGCUUUUCUAAUGAGUAUGUUACUCUCCUCCAGCAGAAGACGAAGUGGCACACCUCAACGGACCAGCUGCAAGUUGGGACUAUGGUCUUAGUCAAGGACCGCGCACUUCCUCCUCUCCUGUGGCUGCUGGGACGCGUCACGAAGCUGUACCCGGGCACGGACAACGUCACCAGAGUUGCCGACAUACGCACGAAGAAAGGAGUCAUCCGUAGGGCGUAUAACAACUUGUGCCCCCUCCCUAUUACUUAGUUAAUUCUACAACUUCCAUUUUAUUAUUGUCUUUUUUUUGUUGAGUCUCUCAACGCCCGGGAGUAUGUUGCGAACGCAACCUUUAUUUGUAUAAUACAGUAACUAAACGCAGCCGUCGGGCUCGGCUAGUAUUUGGAAGCUUUUUCUAAAGCACCAAUAGGAGCGCUCCACAUAUUAUGUAUCGCGGCCAAUUAGAGGCACCCAAAUCUUAACCACUAUUUUCGGACAUUCAAAUUAUGCAAAUCACUCUUUCAUCAGCCUCCAUACAAUCACCACACCACUUUUACAUUUAACCGUUUAGUCAAGGAACCCUUGUAAAACCAGUACCUAUUGAAAUUAUAAUAGUUUACUUCAAA